UACGUAGGGGGCAAGCGUUAUCCGGAUUUACUGGGUGUAAAGGGAGCGUAGACGGUUCUGCAAGUCUGGUGUGAAAGCCCGGGGCUCAACCCCGGGACUGCAUUGGAAACUGUGGAACUAGAGUGCAGGAGAGGUAAGUGGAAUUCCUAGUGUAGCGGUGAAAUGCGUAGAUAUUAGGAGGAACACCAGUGGCGAAGGCGGCUUACUGGACUGUAACUGACGUUGAGGCUCGAAAGCGUGGGGAGCAAACAGG
rnacentral:rRNA from 1 species